rnacentral:rRNA from 1 species
AUUGAACGCUGGCGGCAGGCCUAACACAUGCCAGUCGAGCGGAUGAAGGGAGCUUGCUCCUGGAUUCAGCGGCGGACGGGUGAGUAAUGCCUAGGAAUCUGCCUGGUAGUGGGGGAUAACGUCCGGAAACGGGCGCUAAUACCGCAUACGUCUUGAGGGAGAAAGUGGGGGAUCUUCGGACCUCACGCUAUCAGAUGAGCCUAGGUCGGAUUAGCUAGUUGGUGGGGUAAAGGCCUACCAAGGCGACGAUCCGUAACUGGUCUGAGAGGAUGAUCAGUCACACUGGAACUGAGACACGGUCCAGACUCCUACGGGAGGCAGCAGUGGGGAAUAUUGGACAAUGGGCGAAAGCCUGAUCCAGCCAUGCCGCGUGUGUGAAGAAGGUCUUCGGAUUGUAAAGCACUUUAAGUUGGGAGGAAGGGCAGUAAGUUAAUACCUUGCUGUUUUGACGUUACCAACAGAAUAAGCACCGGCUAACUUCGUG